UGGCAGUGACGAAUACCUUACCUACUAAGACAAUACAAUGGUUCUAGCUACUCGUACUGUCUGAGCCU
rnacentral:snoRNA from 1 species